rnacentral:rRNA from 1 species
AUGGCGUCACUGAUGGCGCCGAUGGCCGGUGCCUUCAUCCUGCUAAUGGACCCGAGGGACAUGCUGUUGUACACGAGCACGGCGGUGAUUGGGACGUGCACGGGCGCCAUCACCUCGGUGGCGGUGUCAGCGACGAGCGAGCUGUUCAGCACCAAGAACUUCGGGCUGAACCACAACGUGCUGGUGGCCAACAUCCCCGUGAGGUCGCUCUGCUUCGGCUACCUCGCCGGGUUCCUCUACCAGCAGCGGGAGGCGCGUGGAGGCAACCGUUGCGUCGGCGCCGCCUGCUACCGGGACACCUUCCUCCUCUGUGGCCUCACGUGCGCCGUCGGGACAGCGCUCUGCGCCGCCCUGUACGCGCGCUCCGGCAAGAGGAGCGGCGAUUACAAGGGACCGGAAGUUUCUGGUAGCGCAGGGGUGUAG